rnacentral:rRNA from 1 species
AUUGAACGCUGGCGGCGUGCCUAAUACAUGCAAGUAGACCUGAGUUGCGCACGGGUGAGUAACGCGUCGGAACCUGCCUCAUAGCGGGGGAUAACUAUUGGAAACGAUAGCUAAUACCGCAUACUGUGAGAUGGACCUGCGUUGUAUUAGCUAGUUGGUGAGUUAAAUGCUCACCAAGGCGACGAUCCGUAACUGGUCUGAGAGGAUGAGCAGCCACACUGGAACUGAGACACGGUCCAGACUCCUACGGGAGGCAGCAGUGGGGAAUAUUGGACAAUGGGCGAAAGCCUGAUCCAGCCAGGCCGCGUGUGUGAAGAAGGUCUUCGGAUUGUAAAGCACUUUAAGUUAGGAGGCGUUACCAACAGAAUAAGCACCGGCUAACUUCGUGCCAGCAGCCGCGGUAAUAC